rnacentral:rRNA from 1 species
UACGACGUAUCAGAGUUUGAUCCUGGCUCAGGAUGAACGCUAGCGACAGGCCUAACACAUGCAAGUCGAGGGGCAGCAUGAAAUUAGCUUGCUAAUUUGAUGGCGACCGGCGCACGGGUGAGUAACACGUAUGCAACCUGCCUGUAAGCGGGGGAUAACCCGGAGAAAUUCGGACUAAUACCGCAUAAUAUCAUUAAUUCGCAUUGUUUUAAUGAAUUAAAAAUUUAUUGCUUACAGAUGGGCAUGCGUAUGAUUAGCUAGUUGGCGGGGUAACGGCCCACCAAGGCGACGAUCAUUAGGGGUUCUGAGAGGAAGGUCCCCCACAUUGGAACUGAGACACGGUCCAA